rnacentral:misc_RNA from 1 species
UGGUUGAAUUACAUUCUCAAUAUCCAUCUCCAAAUGUUGUGAUACCCUGUUAGAAAAGGUGUUGUACUCAUCUUCAGAAUCAGAGCUAACGACCUGAAUGUAAGGAGAGCUCAUGCUAGUGAUCUUCACUGGUAAUCUCUCCGAUAAUGAUUGCCAAAAUGGACUCAACGUUUUACGUACAGCCCGUAUCACUCGCCAUGAGGAUUCAAAUGGAUAAGCCUCAGAAGAUCCAAUAAUUGGUUUUUUGCUUUAAUAACACUUCCAUACAA